UGCCUCUCAGGGUGGCACCUGGAGAGUUUUCGGUACUCUACCACUCUCGACUAUGAGAGGGAGAGUCAAGCAGAGGCCUGACCAUUCCAUUCCUAGUUUGGGUAGUAGCUAGCAAGUGGAAGGCAAUCUGCAACAAGU